UACGUAGGGGGCAAGCGUUGUCCGGAAUCAUUGGGCGUAAAGCGCGUGUAGGCGGCCCGAUAAGUCCGCUGUGAAAGUCCAGGGCUCAACCCUGGAAUGCCGGUGGAUACUGUCGGGCUCGAGUCCGGAAGAGGCGAGUGGAAUUCCUGGUGUAGCGGUGAAAUGCGCAGAUAUCAGGAGGAACACCAAUGGCGAAGGCAGCUCGCUGGGACGGUACUGACGCUGAGGAGCGAAAGCCAGGGGAGCAAACGGG
rnacentral:rRNA from 1 species